AAAUAUUUUUAUUUUAUAGUUUACGAUUGUUAUUAAGUAACGUCCUGUCAAACCCCUCCCGCCAAUCCGUCCCGUAAAAAAAACUCACUGAUUUUAUUUAUGAUAUGUUUAUGAAUCAUUGUCUAAAUAUUUUUUAAUUUUGUAGUAAUUAAAUGCUAUCAAAUAUCUCUGCGGUUUGAUGAUUAUAAUCGAAUUAUUAUAGUCAUGUAGAAAAACAAUAUCAAAAAUGAUAAUUUUGUAGUAAUUAAAUGAUAUUAAAUAUUUUGGAAGUUUUAUUUUACUAACUAAUCGUGUAAUUAAUGUGGAGAGAUUUUGGGAAGAUUGUCAAAUAUUUAAUUCAAAGAUUUUCUUUCUAAUUAUCAAAAACAAUUAUUAAAUGCCAGUGGCAGCCACUGUAAAUAAAUCCCAACUCCAGAAUUUAUUUCACAAAGUGGCUGCAAAAAUGUAUAUAUAGAUAUAAAAGGGUUAAAGUUAGAAAGUAGAGACUCUUUUUCAAAAAGAUUAAUGUUGCGAUUAUAUAAUUAGACAAAACCAAUUUUUGGUAUUGUCAUGACAAAAUUA
rnacentral:sRNA from 1 species